GAAGGUCUUGAGAAUUUUACAAUAUCAAAGCUUUGGAUUCCAGAUGAUAAUUUGGAAGUACAAUACAAACUAAGGAAAGAAGAAAAGGGGAAGAACUUAUCCAAAAAUGAAACUGACCCAAAAGAUCAGGGAACCAACGGAUUGACCAAACAGAUGGUAAUUACAUUUAAUGUUUUAAUAUAAAAAUUCAAAUCAUUUUAAGGAUUAA